rnacentral:lncRNA from 1 species
CCACCAACAUCCUCUGGGCUUGUUUCAGUCCUCACCUUAAUUUUUACACAGGAGAAUGUUAUAUUAUGAUCAGGAGAAUAUGUUGAUCUCAUAGCUUCCAAAUUGAGCUAUAAAGAGUUAGACUGGAGAUAAAUUCAAUAUCAAAGGUGAGUACCAGAAUGACAGAUUUUCCUUGUGCAUGCCAUGCUUCAGCAUCGUCAGCUGUGAAGACAAUCUGGCCUACAGCAGCUCCUGGUGAUGCAGGCAAGCCUGUAGCAAUAACUUUGUCUCCAUAUGACGACGGGCUCUCAAACUAGUUUAACAAGGGCAGAGCAAAGAGUACAGAUUAGAUAGCCAUCAGUUUGAUUGUCGUUACAAAUCGUACCGAAGCGUAACAAAAGUACUAUGCAACAACCUUCAGGCUCAUAUUGGUUUAGAGGAAAACAUAUAAACAUACACUCGCUACAUGCUUCAUGUUUGUGAAACAAAAAAACAACAGCACGUGCUAUGUCAAGUUUCUAGUUAGGGACAUGAAAACAUGAUAUACCGAUAGACUAACAAGUUACACAUUCAUUCAAUAAUAGGUUAUGAUCUAUCAUCCAAAAUAUAAACCACCACUUUUUGCAAAGUCCUAUUCGAUCUUGUUGAUGGGAUCUGAAAUAAAGCUUGGCAACAGAGUGCCCUCAAGAAAAUAGCAGUGUACAAAGUUUGCAAUGCAACAGAUAAGACAAGUGUUGCAUAGUUAAUUGUACCUGGGGAUGAAGAAGCUGGUCCAAGUGCCGUGGUUCCACCAUCUUAAUUGCUGAACGCCGGUCAAUCAGUCCCUCAUUGACCAUGUCUACAGCAAUCUUCACAGCACCUUUGCCUGUGCGCUUCCCUGUUCUGCAUUGCAGCAUCCAAAGUCUAUUUUCUUGAACAGUGAACUCAAUAUCCUGCAUGACAUGAAAAAAUAAGUUAAUUUGAGCACAAGCAAAAAUCAGUUACAAGAGAAACAGUGAACUCAUUAUAAAAAUGCUUGUCUAUAAUAUCAGUCACAUGAAAACCAAUCUUGUUUCAUGGAAAGCACAGAAAACAGUUCUGAUAAGUUCGUUGUAAUUCUGUAGUCUUCCUAGUUACAUUGCCAAUAAGUUCAUUGUAAUUUUGAAAACAGUUCUGACAACAGGCAACUCCCUGUAAUUAAAUUUUUAUUUUAAAAACUAUUUGUAAUCAAAUCUAUCCAUCAUUAUAGAUAACUUUUAAAAACAUGGUAUUUUGAUUCUGCUCUAAUCAUACAAAAGAUACUAGGAUACGAUGGCCAAGAAGAGGAACUAUGUAUUCUCAUGUACUGUACCAUCAUUUCUUUGUAGUGGCUUUCCAAGAUUUUGCAAUUCUCAACUAGUUCUGCAUAAGGCUCUGGCAUGCAAUCCUUCAUGGUAUCAAGAUCUUGUGGAGUUCUGAUUCCAGCAACCACAUCCUCACCCUACAAGAGAAAUAAUUUGUGUUAAUUGCUCAUAAUCCAUUUAUCUAUCAACCCAAGAAAUACAUAAGAUGAUUCAGUCGAAACAUUUUUGCCUUUUGCAACCUUUGAUUCUAAAGGAUAAAAUCUAAAAUAUGUGCUCCCUAUUUUACAGUAACCAUGACGAAUCAGACUAAAAGUAACAACAUAAAUAUGAAAAGAUCAUGUGAUAGCUGAUUAACCCAUCUUGUUACUUCAGUGUUUGCCAGAAUUUUUUUUUUUUGGAAACUGAAUGUUUGCUAGAAAUAGGGGUCAAGGAAUAAGCAAAACAGAGAAGGGGUCGGACCAGUUACCCUGUAUAUUUGUACCUGAGCAUUGACAAGGAAUUCACCAUAAAGUUUUCUCUCUCCAGUACUAGGGUUCCUAGUAAAGAGAACACCAGUGCCUGAAGUGUCACCCAUGUUGCCAAAGACCAUGCACUGAACAUUCACAGCAGUACCCUUUAACCCAGUGAUCUGGUUAAUGCUUCUGUACUUCUUUGCCCUUGCGCUGUCCCAUGAGUUGAAAACAGCCAACACAGAUAAAUGCAGCUGCUUCUUUGGAUCUACAUUUAUUUAGAAGAAAAAGAAAAUCAGAUACAUCUGCUUUCAAGAUACAAGCAUCACCAAAUAAAACGGAUGAUAAAAUUUAACUUUGAUUGUGUAUAUAUAUGAAUAUACGUACCUGAGGGAAAUUCUUCACCUUUGGCCUCCACAUAAACAUUCUUAUAUUGAGCAACAAGUUCUUUCAAAUCCCUGGCAGUCAACUCGGUGUCAUUCCUCAAACCUAAAGCUGCUUUCAUGGCUUCAAUUUUCUCCUCAAAUAGUGAAUGCGGUAUGUCCAUAACCUAAUAAGAUAACCUUUUAGUAUCAAAAUAUUGAAUUUGGUACAAAAUAAAAUUGCGAAACAAAUUUUAUCAAUAUUCAUAUUAGCGAGCAUACGAAGUAACUCACAAAUUGUACAGAAUGUUUCAUUAUCGAAAACUAAACUAAACUAGAUUAUUUAUUUAUGCCAGUUUUUCAUAGUUUUCCAACAUGAAAAUUAAAUCAAACCCCCAAAAUAGAAAUGUAGAAUUACAGCAGUAGAAAGAUCUGGCUAAGAAAGAACAGAAGGACCUCGGGCGUGGCCCCAAAUGCGUCGCGCCGCCGCCGUACGCCGGUUCAGCGCACGCGGUUCGCCAUGUCCGGGGAUGCCACCCCCAUGGACAAGGUGCUGCUGCCCCGACCGCCCCUCCUCCUCCAGAGCGACACAUUGCCCCUCCGGUGACACAGCCAAGGAGGUCGCGCCAGGCGGCCGGCUCGCUCGCCGGAGUUGUGGCAAUCGAGAGGCCGCGAAAAAAAUCGGACAUGAAGAGAAAAUGAGAAGGAAAUUUUCCGAGCAAAAGGAGAAGGGAACAAGAACAACUGGAGAAGGGAGGAGAACUGGACAAGGCAAUAAAUUAAUGGGCCAGGAUGGGCUGGGCCGGCUAUCACCUAGUUUUGGCCCACAAAUACUGGGCGUACUCUUUUUAUAUUUGUUUCCCUCUAAAAACAGAGUACUCAACUUCUACAAAUAUUUUCUUUGAUACUUAUCUGUUUAGAAAUGAAAAUAAAAUAACAUGUAUAUAUACAACAGAAACAUGGAAUAAUACUAGUAAAUAAAUCAAUAAAUAAACCAGUAUGUAUAGAUAUUUGUAGAACACAAAAAAGAGAAUAUAAGUAAUAAUACGUACGACGUUGCCGAACAUGUCGAGGAAGCGGCGGUAGGAGUCGUAGGCGAAGCGCUCGCCGCUGCGGUGGGCGAGGCCGGCGACGACGUGGUCGUUGAGGCCGAGGUUGAGGACGGUGUCCAUCAUGCCGGGCAUGGAGACGGCGGCGCCGGAGCGGACGGAGAGGAGGAGCGGGCGGCGCGGGUCGCCGAGGACGGCGCCCAUGUUGCCCUCCACCCAGGUGAGCGCCGCCAGGAUCUCGUCCCACAGCCCCGCCGGCAUCGCCUUCUGCGCCUGGUACUGCUGGCACGCCUCCGUCGACACCGUGAACCCCGGCGGCACCGACAGCCCGAUGCUCGCCAUCUCCGCCAAGUUCGCCCCCUUCCCUCCCAGCUGCACAUCCAAUUUUAUCCAUGCAAUUUACAUAUAUAUGUUCAUAUACAAAUUACCAGUACAUGAUGAAUGAAGUAGUACAUAUAUGCACGCACCAGGUCUUUCAUGGUCUUGUUGCCGUCGCUCCGGCCCUUGCCGAAGUGGAACACCCUCUGCCCCACCGCCUCCGCCGCGCCAUCCCGAUGAGCGGCCGGCGCCAUUGAUGACGAUGGUUCACUCUGAUCUUCUCUUAAAUUAGCUUCCUUCUGCUUGAUACUGGCACUCAGUCUCAGCUAGCUUUCAGCUUUCCGAGCUCGCUCGACGGGGCAGUGGCACGUAUAUAUACACACACUACAACACGAGUCUAGGAGUAGGUGGUGGCAGCCAGCCAGCCAGCCAGCCAACGCCGUCAAGUAACCGACCGCCCUGCAAGAAGUCGAUUUUUUUUUAUUUUUUUUUGUUUACAGAGGAGGAGUAUCUGUGUACUAGGAGGGAGACCGCAGGCGGCGCUGAUACGUGACUUGGGGCGCACUUAGGAUCAAUGGAUGGAUGUGAUAACUGCAUGCACGACCCCACGACAUCGACCGCUGCCGCCAACCAAAUUAACCCUUACUUAAUCUCGAUCGACCAUCAGCUGACAGCACCGGUGUGCUAGUUCAAUUACUUCAUCAAUAUAUGGUGAAAGCUAAUUAACCCAUGUCCAAUUGUCCAUGUAGUGGUGGACUCGAUAAUGCGGCAGAUUAGCAUGCAGCUGCAUCCUGUAUAUGUCUAGUGGUAGUAGUAUACAUACUACAUUAUUAUGCUCACUAGCUAGACUGCUGCAUGCACCAGUGGAUGCACGCAUUCAUACAUGUUCAAUUGUUCAGUUGAACCGUUACUCUGACACUAACUAGCUACUAUUCUGAACAUUUUGCAGGUGAUCAAGAGAUCGAUCGGUGGUGUGCUGGUGUACUGCUUGCCAAGACGCUACUUUGCUCGAUCAGCGCUCUCUCUCUCUCUCUCUCACUCUCAUCCAUGCAUGCAUGUAGCUAGGCAUGCAUUUUCACGUACCAAUCGAUCGAUCGGUUUGUCGAUCGAUUUUUUUCCGCUUGGAAUUAAUUCAGCAAGCUGGGCCGCUUAAUUAUAUUAUUUCGCAUGUGAUAUAUAAAAUGGCUGUUUGUCGAUGGAUAUGCAUGUUAAAUCAGAUGUGUUCUUCGUUUGCGAUCAUUAAUAUAUACUAUCAAGUUAGAGUGAAUUAACUAGUUCAUACCUGUUGUUAUUUGUUAUUUGGUCCAGAACUGCGACUGGAAAUGGGGCGCCUCGGCCAUAUACCGUACGUGCAUAUUAAGACAAUGCUGGAAUCACAAAUCGAUGAGGACUAUAUAUGUACUAUGUGGAGAACUCUGUUAUCUUGCAUGCAGUAUGAAGUAUCCAUUAUUAAAUAAAAAUUCAUACAGCACCGUACUGAAUUAUUAAUUUGUUCAACCAAAAUCCAUUCCUCUAGCUACACACCUCCGUGUUUGACAAAGAACAACUUUAUAAUUUUACUCAAUCAAUGAUUAUUUCAUUAAAAAUAUAUGCGUUAAUAAACUCAUGUAUUCAACUUUAAUUAAUUUGGAACACAACUGUUUGGUUAGGUCUUGACUUUCAUUUUAAGCUAAAGCUUGAGGCUAAAACAAUAGGGUAAUUUUUCUAUAAACAGGCUCGCACAAUUAAACAACGUCGAUCGAAUGCUCAGAGACUACGUACGCGUGCAUGAUAUGCAUAUAUUGAUCGAGAGUAGCGGUGUAGCGUAGCAAUUAGGUUUGGGAUAAGAAGGGGUUAAUAGUAGAGUAGUGAGGCCGGCCGGCAUGCAGAGCCGCGGUUUGGGCGUCCAGCGGCCGUGCUACUGCUAUCGACGACUCGCGCCGCUGAUAUGAUGCACGCGCUACGGAUAAGCUCUAGCCUGUGCUGGAUGCGGUCAUCAGGCAGGGUUUUUGGGGGGCCCGGGGGGGUGUGACGUGGGCGUCGACCACAACCACAACCACACGAUCGAUCUAUCCGGCCGCCGCAUGCGCAUGCGGGCCACAUGCCCCGCGACGUGCCAAUCGAUCGCUGACAAAAGAGGAGCGCGCGCCGUCGGAUCAGUUAAUCUAUUUAAUUAACUCCAUCCAUCUUCUUAACACAAGUCGGUUUUGCUUUGAAUUAGGUUGCUAAUUAAUUAAUUGGACUAAUUAACCAAGAUGGUGACGUUACCAGCUGCAAGUAUAUCAUCCUGUCACGGUCCUCUCCGAGGUAACCAAAGGGCCGGGUAUGUGACACUGUCUUUUUUUCUCUUUAAUUUAAUUAAUUUUUGCCUCGCUCUAGUACAUAUAAUUAGAUCGCUGGUUAAUUAGUGACAUGAAGAAGAUAUUCAUUUUACCGCUUAACAGCUAAGCUUUGGCGGCACGCGCCGGCCGCGGCCUGGUAUACCCGGUUACCAUGGCGCGUCGCUGUCCCGGCUAACGCCCGGUUACUGUCGCUAUCGCGUACGGCGCCGAAACGCGCCCGCGGAUGAGGCAGCGCCGCUGCACGGUUUGCACGAACCAAACCGGUACUACUAGGCACUAGCACCAGUAAGGAUAUAUAUACACUAGUAUAUAGUUACAAAUGUGUGUUUAAUCUUACACUGGCUGUGUCGUGUCAGUAGAUUAUUGAAUGAAACGAGAGGAUGGGAUCGGACGACGCAGGGGGCACGCAAAGCUAUAUACUACCUCCGUCCCAAAAUACUUGUCGCUUUAAGUUUUUAUUUAUAAAGUUUAAUCAUUCGUCUUAUUAAAAAGAUUAUGAAAAUAUUAUUAUUUUUAUUUGCGGCUUGCUUCAUUAUUAUAAGUACUUUAAGUAUCUCUUUUCUUUUUUUUAUAUUUGCACUAUUUCUUCAAAUAAAACGAAUGGUUAAAUGUUACAAGAAAAAAAUCAAAGCGACACAACUAAUUUAGAAGGGAGGUAGUGUGUGUCUAUAUAUAUAUAUAUAUAUAUAUAUAUAUAUAUAUAUAUAUAUGAAAUCCUGUGUGCAGGCUGUUACGAAACCUGGGGCAGAUCUAGCAUUUUGAUCGAUAGUGUCACCGUCAACUUUUGGUUACGAUUAUGGCUUUCAACUAAUGAUGAUACGUAUCAAAACAAUAAAAAACAUCAAUGAUACAUCAACAUCGACAACGAGAAAUUAUGCUAAUAAUUAAUGAGUUUAUCAAUCUCAAUAUAUGACUCAUAAUGUUGACAUGUAAUUUUUUUACGCAUUCGCAAAAAAAUCUCAAUAUAUGAUGUCUCGGUAAUUUGAAGCUGCCGUGGAACCUGAAGAACACGAGGGAUCGAUGUCAAUUAGUUCGGAUAAGAGUACAGCUAGGGAUAUAUAUAUAAAAAAAAGGCAACAUUGGUUAUAUAUAGUACCAAAAGUUUAUGUUUUUUUAUAGCAUCGAAAAAUAUCGGUUGAUUUUAAUAGCACACAAAGUUUACCACAUUCCCAUUUUUAACACUUUCCGUCCGCCUUAAUCGCUAUUGACCCAACCACGCACAGGAUAUGAUGGUUCUACUCCUUACAAGUAUAAGUAGAAUACAUGGCAAUAAGAGGUAGAAACGUCAUAUUGCGUACGUGGUUAGAUCAAUAACUAUUAGCGUAGACGAAAAACGAUUGAGAAUUGAUAGAAGUGUUAAAGUGAACUGAUAUCUCUCAGUGUUAUAAAACCAAUUUUGCGAAGAAAAAAAAUAUAACAAAUACUGCCAUAAGUUAUUUGAGUGAAAAACUUUCUAAUCUAACUUAUAGUUGUAAUAUAAUUCUAUCAUAACUAUACUACAACUACAAUAUAACCUAUAUAUACUUAUAUAUAAGUAUUAAAAAUAUAUACAACUUUAUAUCUAAGUUAUAUAAAAAUUAGAAUAUAGUUACAUUGUAGUUACGGUAUAAUUACACUAACUUAUAUAGCUACAUGGUGUACUAACUAUAAAACUAGUUAGCCCAAUAAUGAUGAGGGUUCAGUGGAGAAGCAGAGGACGCGGGAUCGAUAGAUACCCCAGCCCAUGCCAUCUCAGUUAAUUUUUUCCCAAUCUAUCUACGCACAAAUCUCGGGAUAGAUCAACAGCCCAAAAAAACAAAAGAUUUAUAGCGAUUCCGAAAAGGGAUAUAAGUCCACUUUUACUCCCUCAACUAUACCUUCAUAUCCCUUUACCACAGUACCAUAUAUCUUCAUCCCUCAGCUAUUAAAGCCGGUGUAAUUUGACUCCCCAUACCUUGUUCAGUUAAUCCCCGUGAGGGAGGGAUUGGAGGGGAUUUAUUCCACACCUAUUGUGUGUGGAAUUAUUCCCUCUCUAUUCUCUCCAAUCCUCUUCAAUCCCCUUAGAACCAAACAAUCUGUGGGGCCCGUAUGUAAGUGGUUGUUUCCUCUGCUCCUCUCCUCUAUAUUUCCUCUAGCGGCGGCGAGGCGGCAGAAGGACGAUGGUACUGGGCGGCGGAGGUUGCCAUCGGCGUCCGAGAGGGGGCUGGGGGAUGGGUGUUGAUGCAGGGGCAAGCGACAGGUGGCAGUAGCCGGAGGGCGCAGCUUGGAACCGAGAGUAGCCAGGCACUUGCGGAUCCGGCGAAGGACGUGCGUCGCCUCCAAUCCCGUCAGCGUCGUGCCUACACAACACGCAGCGGAGGCGACACGGGCGGCACGUCAGGGCAGGGUGGCGUGCACUAGCCCGCGGAAGCCGUCGACCGUCCCUGUUGUGAUACGCGUAGGCUACGAUAGCAUAAAUCAAAAUUUUCUAUCGCGUAAACCAGGAACCAUGCAAGUAUUAGAUCAUAGAUCGUUACCACUCGACGCGCUGCGCAGCGGAAGAAGACGCUGAGAAGUCGAAGGAACUCUCGCGAAGUAGCGCGCGUCGAUGUAGAGGAAGUAGUCGAUCGCACCGGCUCGACCUUCUCCUCCUCGUGCGUUCUCCUCGUUGUACUCCCACGCCGAUCAGCACCGCAAACCAGUGGCGCCUCUACCGGUAUACACACGUACAGGGACGGAACGCCACGCGCAGAUGUGCUAGCACCCGCGCGCGGCUAGGGUUUUGCUCGGGGAGGGAAGUGACGGCUAGGGUUUCUCACGUGAUGCAAUGCCUUCGCUGGUCACACCCCUCGCGAAUAUAUAGGAUCCAUCACUCGGGCCUCCAAGGCCCGUAGGACUCCUAUUUGGAUCCCUAUCCGAAUUAAGCUCAUAUUGGAUCUCUAUCCAAUCCCCUUAUUCCGGCCCAUUAAGCGUGCGACCCUGUAGGUUCAUAUAUACUCGGCUGUAACCCGAAAACUCCUUUUCGGUCCACGCGUCAACAGCGGCCCCUAGUAGAACGUAUUGACCCACCGGGCAUACAUAAAGAUCAUAUCGGCUGAACCUCUAGUGUAUACUUGUAUGAAGCCAUUUGCCUCACGAUAUCGAUUAAGCUCAAGGCUAGAUAUGUACCAUCCUCUAAUAGCUCAAUCAUUCACUCGAACCUAUUGAUAUCUCUCCAUAGGAGGGGCAAAUCCCAUCUUGAUUAUUCAUAUCCCACUACAUGUUUUAUAGCAUACCCGAAAACUACUUUUAUAGCUACCCAUUUACGGAGUAGCGUUUAGCGGUCCCUAAGUAAACUACUACACAUGUUGAGAACCAUGAUAAUAUCAGGUCUAAGGAUUCAACACCAACACUAAAUGAGAUCACUGAUGACACAACACAUAUGGCUCUUGCAAUGUCUCAUGUUGGGUCUAUCCAACAACAUGUUCACCAACAUGUGUCCACAUUAUUAAUUUGAUAUCUCUAUACCAUGAUCCAUGAGACAUGAUCAUCAAUUAAUACAUGUGCUGAUCAUAUAAACAUAUUUGUUCCACUUAUGAUAUUUGAUCAGGGAUCCUUUAGAAAUAGUAACAAACAAGAUAAAGAGUCUCAUGAAAGAAUCACAUAUUCAUUAACCAAUAAGGAGUUAUCUAUUUCAAGGAACAAUGUCGGAUAAAUAUGUAAACAUAGUAUGUGAUACAAUCAUCUCUAUGAUUACCUCUAGGACAUAUCACUAACAGUCCCCCCCCCCCCAACCAUCCUCUCGUCGGAACCGUCACCGUGUGCUCGUCUGCCCAGUGCCCUGUCCCUCCAGCUGAAGUAGACCACUCCGGCGAUGACAAUAACGUGGAUUAGCUGGUGGCUUUGGCCGGUGAGGUCGAACUUCCCCUGCAUCUACCGCUCCGGCCAAUGCGCGACCUGGUGGCACGCCGCCGCCGCGAGCUCUGAUUCGACGGGCACGUUGCUUAGAGCCUGCACCGCCGCGACCGCCCCGGUGCUGCCGUAGCUCAUCAAUCAUCAUCAUCAAAUACCAUUGGGUUGGCGGAGUUGUUGGCCAUCGUCUUGGACGUCACCAAGCUAGCAGACAUGGAGGAUUCCAUGGAACCAUCGUGGCGGUGCACACGGUGAGCGCGAUGAACAUGAAGAAGCCGAUCGCCUGCCAAGAUACAGCAAAAAGAAAAGCACACUUGUCAAUCAAAACACACAACCUGUACUGUUACUGGUGAAGAAAUGAUUUGUACUCCCGAUUGGUAACCCUAGUCCCGGUUUUCCAACUAGUAGUACAAAUCCGGACUAAAGAUCGUUGUCCCGGUUCAAAUACCCGGGACUAAAGAUCUUUAGUCCCGGUUGGUAGUAAAGUUUUUUUUCUCUUUUUUUUUUGCUAUUUUGUAUACCUCACGUCCAUUAUCCCAAAUCAUUCACAGCAACAUAGGUCAUCCCAAAUCAUUCACAACAACAUAGUUCCUCCCAAAUCAUUCACAACAACAUUCAUAACAACAUAGUUCAUUCUCAACACAGAUCGAAUCAUACAUUCAACACAGACAACACAGAUCGAAUCAUUCAACACAAAGAAAGAAAAAAGAAAAAAAAAAUCCGUGCAGCCGCGCCAGCCUCCACCGCCUGCCGCCGCGUGGCCUUCCGCGCAAGCCGCCACCGGGCGCGGUCCUCCACACGAGGCCGCCGCCACUGCGCGAGGCCGCCUCCGCUUCCUGAGAAGUGGGGAGGAGAGGGGAGGGGGGCGGAUCCAGAGGAGGAAGAGGAAGAGAUGGGGUGAGUGAGGAGAGGAGAUAAAGGUGAGGGAGGAGGAGAUAGAACUUAUUAACUUAUCCCGUGCGCCUCCUCCUCCUCCUCGAUGUUGCGCGCACGCCUCAUCCUCUCCGCGCAUGCGGAUCUUUUUUUUCCUGGUUGUUUAACAACCGGAACUAGAAAUAGCUCUUUAGUCCAACCGGGAUUAAAGGUAAAGGAGGGGUCUGACACCGCCUACCUUUUUUGAACUAGGAUUAAAGAUUAAAAAGUAGCUCUAACCUUUUGAAUCGGGACUAAAGAUGUUUUUUAGUCCUGGUUUUUAUUGCAACAAGAACUAUUAUGGAAUUUGGUCGACCGAUAAAAGAUAGUUUCUCUACUGGUAGAGUAUCGUCUUUAGCUAAUAUACGUGCUUUUGAUCGAUCGAGUGCUUAAUUACGUCUGGAAGAUGGUCUCGUUGUGGACGACUAAGGCGCUGAGGAGCGCCUGCUUGAUGGGCCACUCGCUGCGGUAGUAGUCGAUGAUGAACUCGUUGUGCUUGAGGAAGGCCGGGAGCGCGUCGUAGGCUCGUAGCUGACAAGCUCGUACUUGCGAUCGCAGCACCACUUCGCGCCACCGUCGCCGCACUUCCUCCCUCCAGGAGAGAAGAUUUCAAUGUCGCUGCUCUGUCCAUGCCGCAUCGGCGCCGGCGGCGACAACGUCGUCGCCACGGAUUGUGGUCGUCUUCUCUAACUAGUAAUAGUGCACGUGCAUAGCACGUUUUUAUAAUAUAUAUUUUAACAAUAAAAAUACAGGGAAAAAUAGUGCUUGCAAGAGCAUAUUCAUACACUGACUUAAGAAACAUGGCAAGAGUAUGUCCGCACACUGAAUUCAGAUACAUUACAUAUUCACGUUCAGAUAACCUUGAAUGGUAAUAUGAGUAUAUUGUUUACACUAAACCCAGAAAAACCUUACAUCGACCGGUGAAUUUGUAAACUUCCAAUACUUGAGCUAUAAGAAAUUCAUAACAUUAAUUAGCUCACAGCAAACUAAAACAUUGAACAACAUUUAGAUGCUUGCCCAAGUUCAGAUUCUAAAUUCAGAUACUCGUACAUCAUAAGAACAAGUCAUAAACUAAUAUGUCAAAUGCUCAGAAAAUAAUAUAAGAAAUGUUCAAACACUAAUCUGGCAGAUGUUCAGACAUCUAUUUUUCACACAUAUUGCAAGGACAAGAUAAGACUCCAAAUACAGAAAAUGAGAGGUAUAUAUAAAGAAUUUGUCAUCAGCACGGCAGAAAAUAAGACUCCAAAUAAAGAAAAUGAGAGGCACGUUCAGACAUCUAUUGUUUUGUUUCUUUUGAGCACAUAACAUGAGAUGUGAUUGGCAAUUUUUUGCUCCCAGGAAAUUUGUACUGAAAUUAUAAACAUUUGGCAAUCAAACAACAACAAAACCUAAAAAAAACACUCCACGUUUCAAAAGGCUGUCAGGAAUUAACUCAGUACAUAAUCAAUGGUUCACAGGGAAAAUAUGCAUGUUUAUGUUCUGAAUAGAAACAAUACAUUACACUACACAGGUUGGCAUAUAAUGCAACGCCAAUUUCAGACUGUUGUCAACCAAGUUCUUAAGCAAUGCAAGGCCAAGUUCAGACCAUGUAAAACUAAAUUUAAAUUAAUAUAUAAAAGUUGUAUGGCACACAGAGACCAUAAAGCCACCUUAUUUUGGUUGGAGCUACAGCAAAAGUGGCUGGGUAGAUUCAGCUGGCAAAAUGAACUUGUUACAGUAAUUGCUUCAAUGGUAGACAUGGUUUUUGGUUUAACAUGGGACAGAGAAUAACAGUAGUAAAUUAUAACAUUAAAUAAUUUAUGUUUGCAUAGAUGAAUGAACUGCACAGAUUUAAAAGCGCGGGUGUAAGUUUGUGAAUCAAUUUGAGGGAAGUGAAUUGAGUGCUUAAUUUGCAAAUAAAAUUCCUGCAAAAAGAAGAAAAGUAGCAGCUGAAAACCCAUAUCAAAAGAGGAAGGGGUUGGACCAUUUCACUGCUACAAGAAGAUUAAUUAUAUGACUUGCAUAUCGAAACAAAAUAAGUUAAUCCAAGAUAACAAAAGUUUGUAGACUACUGGAGUACUUAUAGAGAAAUAUAAAGUUUGGUAUGCAAAGAGGCCAAGUGCAGAUAUUAAUUUGAGAAACCAUUUAUGUGAUGAACACAGUACACACGUAAACUCAUUCUUUUUUAAUUAAAGACACUAAAAAAUUGCACCUAACAUAGCAUCGCAAACAACCGCAUGUUCUUUAUUGUUGGGGGAUAAUAGCUGUAACAGAUGAUCUUCAGGUAACGAUGAAAAUGUACUGUUUGAUUAUAGAUCCAAAAGUCGAUGGCAUAUUGUAGAACAUGAUAAAGUCAGUGGCAAAUCGUAGACGUGUGACAAAGUCAGUGGUAUAUAAUGGAUUCUCUCAAAUGAGAGAAUGACCACUACAUGUUGGUAUGAAAGACUUGAGAACAGGAAUAUUUCUCUGAGGAAAACACAUCAACUGACUUUCCUGAAAUCACAUGCUGACAUGUUCAUAGUGCACUAUGCGAAAUCACCAUAAUGAUGGUUUCCAUCAAAUUUUGUUAUAUAAAUACAACUUAGUAUUUCUGCCUAAAAAACUGAAAGGCACAUUAAGUUUGAAAAUUCUAAAGGGAUAUAAACUGAAUAAAAUUUUAGCAAGUGACAGGUGCAAGAUAAAAACAUUAGAGGACUGAAACUAAAUUAAAAGAAAAAUAGCAAGACCUGCUGACAUCAACCACAGUUGCAAACCUUAACUUACCUACCAAUGUGAUCUUGCCAAGGAACUACAUGAUUACCUGAUAAUUGAUUGCAUUAAGAUGUGAAUUUGAUUUGGAGCUUCAUCAAAAGACAGUGCAAUGCCCUUGAAUGUAUUCAGCAACCAUGUAGCAGGACAUAGUAUUUCGGAAAAUUCUCAUAGUGUACUACCACGAAAAAAAAUGAAAAUGAGCAAUUAUCAUUUAAUAUUUACAGAAAAAAUAUAUAAAACGUCGUUUAAAUACGGAGGUAUAUAAUUCGUAAGAAAGGAAUAUGAGAAACCGAAUGAAGUAGAAGGUAGGAGAAAAACAUUACCAAUGAGAAUCAUUGUUCAGUCACUCCAAUAUGCACCAGUGAUCCACUCACAUCAAAAUAUUAAGCAGUCCGAAAUUUCUUUCAGUUUUUUCUGCACAUUUAUAUCAACUACUGUAUUAUUAUGUCCCAAGCAUAAUGAACUAUGUGUAAUCUGGAAGACCUGCACAAACAUACAAAACUACCAUGAAGAGAUGGAAGACCUUAUCAAUAUUCAUGAGAGCAGCACCAUAUUUGAAAGCAAGAACAAGCUCAGUGGCACUGAACAUUAUCAACAAAGAGUAAUAAUUAAUUGGUAAAGGCAACUUACAGAAUAGAUUGAUAUUUCAAUAUAGCUGGUAAGCUGGAAUGGUGAACAAUCAUAGCGAGGCUUCAUGUUUCAAGGUAGGCACAAAAUCAAGGUGGGUAACCUGGGCAUAAGUCAAUCACCAACAUUUAUCACCUGCUUAUCGCUGAUCAAACCGUUGCAGUAUUCUGUGACAAGAUCAUUCCCUUGUUAAAUAGAAAGAAGGAAAGAGGAAAGGGCUUCGACAUAGGUGUAUGAGAAAUCUUUGACAAUUCCAAUUCCAUCCCUCUCUCAUUCUAACCUGUGAAUCAUUGGAUUCCACUGCAAGAUUGUUGCGCGUGAGUUCUAUGAUUACAAACUGAACAUCCCAUCUUCAGAUACUGGAGCUGGACAAAGCUCAGAUAAUCAUAUCCUGUUCGUUUAAAAUGUAGCUAACAUACCAUAGCUUUUCAAUAAACGGGCAUUCCUGCACAAAGACAAUGUCGUUAACAAGCCUGAUAUCACAGACAAAUGGUAAGUUAAUUUGGGUAAUCACCCUGACAUAACUUGGGUGAACAUUUAAUACUUUAGUGCUGAAUUUCUUUUAACAAACAUAAAUAUAAAUGGGAAGCAGAAAAUAAAGAAAGAGGAACCAGAAUCUGUUGAUGUUGCGCUAGUUAAUUAGAAGAUCUAAAAAUUGCAACAAAUGAUACUGUAUCGAAUAAUCAAUUGAGCAUUCCAUCCAGCAUCAUCCAUGCCACAUGCAUUUUGUGGGAACAAACACCAGAAGGAACAGAAGCACGUGUGAAGUUAAACGCGAGGAAACCUAAUAAUGUGCUGAACCUGAUCGGUACUCUGUAGCGUUGUGGUAGAGCAUAAUGUCGAAGUGCCGCACCGGCAGUCGGCUCUCUCGAUGAGCGUCUCAAGGAAGCGAGCGGUUCCAGCAGCAGCUACGUUGCCGGCCACGGCAGCUGUGUUGCCAGUGGCGUCGUCUGUUGCGGGUGGCGUCAGGGCUCGACGACGCCACCAGGGAGCAAAGACGUCUACAGUGACAGCGGCAACAACAGCAGGGGCGGGUGUUGCAAGUGAGGGCGACCGGGGCGCGGAGGUCGACGGCUGCAUCGGAGGAGCGGAAUGGCGAUGGGAACGACGAUUGGGACAUGGUGCGAUGUGAAAUUAGGGAUUGUAUUGGAUACGCGAUUGAAUUGGGCAUGGCGACCAGCGAGGAUGACAGGGGUGAUGGAGCUUACGGAGGAUGUUCGCAGCGCCGGCAGCGGCAGGAGUACGCGAUCUUCGGCGAGAGGUCACGCGCAGCGGCGUUACAGGAGCGAGGAGGCGGCGCGGAGGAGAUCCUGAGGCAGCGGUGAGGGGAGGCAGGCGACGCGAGGGAGAGGGGAGAGGGGACUGCGGUGAGUUGAGUGGGACGACGAGAGGGGAGAGGGGAGAGGGGAGUGCGGCGGGUGAGGCGGGCGGCGCGGCGACGUGGCUGGUGAGGCGGGCGGGCGGCGGAGACACGGCUUGGGGAGGGCGAGCGGUGGCGUGGGGAGGGCGGAGCGGUGGCGACGUGCUAUUUUUUUCGGUGUUUAGUUAAGGGAGUCAAAAUGGACCUGUUCCUUCCGAAAAUAAAAAGGAGGAAUAAGUUCACUUUGGGUCCCACACGAUAAAGUGGAUCAGAUUGCAGGAUUGUUGAUGAAACUAGUACUUUAUAUAUUACUAGUAGAAAUGCAGAAUUGCAGUAGUAGAGAUAGAGAUGUCACCGUGGACUAGAGGUGGCCAAACGGGCCGGGCCAAAACGGGCGGCCCGAGGCACGGCGGAACCUGUAGCCGGCACGGCCCGGCACGGCCUGCUACAGUAACGGGCCGUGCCGGCACGGCACGAGUAGCCGUGCCGUGCUUGGGCCGCCGGCCGAGCCCGCGGGCCGGCACGGCACGGCACGGCUACUGUAGUAAGUCCGCAUCUCAUCCUUCCGCAAGUCCGUAUCUCAUCCCUCCCAACUGACGGCCCAGCCCGCUAGCCGCCUCCGCAAGUCCGUUGAGCACCCCUCCUAGCUGAUGGCCCAGCCCGCCAGCCACCUCCGCAAGUCCGCAUCGCAUCCCUCCGCGCCAUUUCGGUUCCUGGGCCAACCGUGCCCCGUCCACGGCCCAUUUUUCAUUCACGGGCCCGUACUGAUGUCACAGCCUGAAUUCCGUUUCAGGAUUUAUAAAUUAUUUAAUAAAUUAUUAAUAGAAUUUAUAUUAAAUGUUCAAUAAUUUACAAGUGAAGUUAAAUGUAGGAAAUAAAAUUUCCUAAAUAUAAAGCAUGGAUGGAUUUAAUUUUUAUUAAAUUCUCCAUGGUUAAUUAUACUCUCUGGAAUUUUCUCGGAUUUUUCGGAGCUCAAUUAUUAAUUUUAAUCAUACAAAGAGAAGUUCAGCAAUUAUUUGAAUAUUAAAUUAAUCAUUAAAUGAUCUAAUUAUAAUUGUUAAGAGUUUUUCUUGUUUAAAAAUCCUUAAAUUAUAAAUUGUUGUUUAAAAGGAAUUAUUAGAAACAAUUUUAAAAGCUUAAAAGAGAAGAUCUAAUUUUAAUUUGCUAAAUCUCAAUAUAAAAUUGGGUUAGAUAAAAUUUUAUUAAAUACUUUGCUUGUUCCUCUAUUUUCUAGAUUUUUCUGGGAAUUGUUUGAGCAAGGAAAGUAUUUUUAAUAAAUGAAACAACAUUUCAUAAAUUAUUUUAAUUGAAAAAGUUCAAAAACCCCUCCUUUAGGUUAUUGGGCCGAUUUCGGCCUAAUACUCUCUCUCUCCCGCGGGCAAGCCGGCCCAAGUCGGCCCAGCUGUCGCCGCCGCUCUCUCUCUCGUGGGACACUGACAUGUGGGGCCCACAUGUCAGGCCUUUCUUCAACCUCCGGCCGAAGCCGUGCCCGAGCCGAGUCCUAGCCGCCUUCUUUCCCCUCUCAAAUUCGCCUCAAUCCGACCCCGAUUCCUCCAGGUUUUUGAGGGGAUUUUAUCCUCUCGUUCUCCUCUAUCUUUUCCCUCAAUAUUUGGAGCAAAUCGUUGUGUAUUUUAUCCGAAUCAAAUUCGUUUUCGAGUUUAUCUCAAAAACCGAGUUUUGAUUUUCUCGGAUCGAUUCCUCUCGUUUGGAGUUCGAUCUCUUCAAUCCAAUGCUAUAAAUAGCAUCCCCUAGUCGUCCUCUUCCGUUUGCCCCAAGUCCCGAGCUCCCUCGUCGCCCGUAGCGCUGCCGCCACGUUGCCCUAGCCGCUAGCCGUCGCCGGCGAUCUCCAGUCGCGCCGCGCCGUCGCCCUAGCCGUCGCCGCCGCUUGCCGCCGCUGCCGUUAGGUGCGCCGUGGUGAGGAGAACCUCGGCCGCACCUUCCCCUUCGCCGCCGGCCACCGGAGCUCCGCCGUCGCCGUCAAGCCGAGCCGCCGCCGCCGUCCUCUUCGUCGCCGGCCGUCGUCGUGCGUCGUUUGUCGUUUUGGUGAGUACCGUUGGGUUCGCCUCGUCGUCCUCUACGCGUAGGUGCCCUCCAAUCGCCCGGCCAAGGUCCAUAGCGCCGGCGAGGUCGUCGGCCGACCUGUGGCUGCCUUGGAUGAUGUCAGCAUGACAUCAUCAUCCUUCCUUUUUUCCUUUUUUUCUAAUAGAUUAAAUCUUCGGAAAAUCAUAACUAAAUAACUGUAGAUCCGUUUCAGGUGGUUCCAGUUGCUAAAUUUUUCUAAAAUAAAGAUCUACAUAUUAAAAUUGUCCAUAAAUUGAAUUAAAUUUAUUUAAUUCUUUUUAAAUGGGCUUUAAUUAGAUUUAAUCUUGUAAAAUUCAUAAUAAAUUCAUUUGAAGUCAGAAUAAGGCUGUUCAAGUCUCAUAAUUCAUCUAAAAUCAUGAUCUACAUGUUUGUUUACUUUAUAUGUAUUGUUUAUUUGGUUUUUAUUAGUUUUUUUUCUUCGUUUUGCGUGUUAGCUUGUCGUUUCCGUCGUUGCGAAGGUUCGUGAGUGCGUCGGAAGUGAUCAAGAAGAUUAAUUGAAGAUCGAUUAUUGCAAGGCAAGUCACACAGAUCCUAAACACAAUCCUUUGAGCAUGUUGAACCCGUUUAAAGCUAUUAUUUUAUUUCAACUAUGCAUUAUUUUUGAAUGUCAUCGGGUGGUGAACCUUUCCCCGUUAAUUAAUGGCCGAAGAUGAUCUUAUUUUCCUAUGGGUUAUAAUUUGAUUAGCAUGAACCUUAUAUAUUGGUUUGGUUCAGCUAAAUGUUAUAUGUAUGUUUGCUUAGCCAUGCUUAGAAACAUUAGCUAAUUAAAGGGGAUUAAAUAUAAAUUAUAUUAUAUUAUUCUUAUUAAUUAUGGUUAUAUUUAAUGGUAGCUCACGAUGGUUAAUCGUGUGAUGUUAAUUAAUUGAUACUUAAAAUCUGGUUAAGGUGGGUUGUGAGCAUAUGGUUUUGAUGGUUGUGCUCAUGACAAUUAAGGACCGGUUCGCGAGCUACUGUUGUGAAACAUUUACCGUGCCAACCACAAGCCAGCAUGGGCAACGGCUUUACCUUUUGUAUAGCAUGAUUCAUUACGGGGCACCAGACUGAGAAGCGGCGAGAAGUCCGUGGGGGUCGCUGGGGAGUCCAUGCCUUGUUUAUAAGGGGGUGAUUAUGAUCCAGGAACGGUGCACUGUUUUGAGUUGUGUUGUGCAAAGGGUAUUGUCACGAUUUCCCCCUUUGCAAUGCCGUGGUGGUAUUUCGGGGCAUGGCAACAUGUGUGGAAUCGUGUCUUGUGGGUACAGUGGUACACCUCUGAUCAGAGUAAAACUAUUCGAAUAGCCGUGCCCGCGGUUAUGGGCGAGUUGAGCAAUGUUUUUCGUGAUUAGUCUCACACCUCUCACAAUAAUUAUGGAUGCUAUAACUGGUAAUAAUUUGCUUAGCUCCUGGUUUGGAGUUAGAUCUGUACAGCCGGGUAUGGUUGUUCAGGAUGGUUGGGCCUGUGCAGCAUGGGUGUGCUGUUCAGUGUUGAUUAAAAUUGAUGAUUAAUCACUUCACUGUUUUACUUCUCUUAAAUGUUUUGCUAAAUGCUGCUUUUGCAAAUGAGCCUAUAUUAUGCCAUCCUUUGGAAUCCUUGUGCACUUGCAUAUUUGCUGUGUGGCUUGUUGAGUAUGUCAUAUGCUCAUUCUUGCAAUAAUCAUCAAACCUCAGUUGAAGAUAAAGGAUCCAGAAGGAGAAGACGUUUGGCUUAUACCCCAGUUGAGCUGCCUGUGGGAGUGGAGCUGAAGCCAUCGCUAGACCGUUAAUUCCGCUGUUGUUUUCUUUUCUUUGUAAGUAUGUAACGUUAUUAUUAAGAUGGAUUUGUAUAUUAAAUUGUCAGUUUGUGUACCUCGGCUGAUUCCUGGACGAGGAUUUUAUGCACAAAUUAGUUCGGAAAUUACUAGUGAAUUUCCGGGCGUGACAACUGACACGGCGGGCCACACGCAUGCCGUGCCGGCACGGGCACGGCCCGGCCAUCCACGGGCCGUGCUUGGGCCGGCGGCUCGGCACGUGGGUCGGGACGGCACGGCCCGUUUCAUGAGCCGUGCCUAACAGGCCGUGCCGAAACGGGCCGUGCCGGACCCGUGCCCGUGCCGUGCCGGGCCGGGCCGCCCGUUUGGCCACCUCUACCGUGGACGAAGCCAUCUUGGGUGCUGAAAGGAGAGGGAAAGUAAUGGAAAAGAUAGACUGUGACACUGAUGUGUGGGCCCUACAUAAUGACUUAGCAGGUUAGACAAGUCUAAGCAUCACAUCAGCGAAACUGCUCUCUAGAAUCAUCAAGGGAGUCAAAUUGCACCGGUUUUAACAGUUAAGGUCAAGAUAUCCGGUAUUACGGUUUAGGGAUAUGAAUCAGAUUUAAGCUAUAGUUAAGGGAGUCAAAAUGGACCUAUUCCUUCCGAAAAUAAAAAGGAGGAAUAAGUUCACUUUGGGUCCCUCUAUUUGUCGCCAAAUCCGAUUUUCAUCCCCUAUUCACAAAACCGGUACGAUGGGUCCCCCAACCUAACGAAACCGUUUAAAUAAAGUCCCUCGGUGGUAUUGUACCCGUUUUUGGCUGAGAUGGCGCCUACAUAGCUCCUUUUGACCAGGUCUUUGUCCAACGUAUCGUUGACGUGGUGCUUAUGUAGCAAUUAGAUCGGAAAAAAAUAAAAUACGUGGGACCCACAUGUUAGUUUCACACACAAAUAAGUAAAAAAUGGUGGGCCCAUGUGGAUACUCUCUAUCCUCUCUCUCCCUAAUCUCUCUCCGGCCGAUGGAGCGGGGUCGGCGGCUCUUGCCGACGCCGGAGUCCCCGAUGAACAGGUUCUUGAAGCCGCACUCGUGCCCACCACCACCGCUGCUCCCCGCCCCCGGCGACCCCGGCAGCGCCGCCCACAACGCCGGCCAUUGGUCGAAAGUUCCCCAUUCCAAAACCCCAAUCGCGUCGAAUUGAGUGUAGCCGUGGACGGUGUGGGCGCGGCGUCCAGGCUAGGCGGCGAGCCUCUGCAGACUGCAGACCGGCGCGGCGGUGCUCGCAUGCUCCUAGUGCCGCAGUGCCACCUGGCCUACACGGUUGCGCGCCUGCGCGCAACAGCCCAGCUCUAAGCCGAGCAGGCAGCAACACCAACGAGUUAGCAAGGGCAAGGCAGCAAAGUAACUAGCCCGAUUCAACACAAAUUUUUUUGAAGUGAAACGAUUCAGCACAAAUGGAUAGAUAGGGGAAAGAAAAGGCUUUGGCAUCAUAAAAGUGUAACAUUUCUUGAGUAUUUGACAAAUGAUAAGUGAAAACAUUGCAAUUUGUAAAAGUAUAAUGCACAAUUUGUCAUUGAUUCACAUGUCUGUAAUUUUGCUUGUAGAUUUGAAGAGCUAUUUCACCAGGUAGUCGAGCAGUAUGCUUUCAUUCCACAGCGCGGCCGGGGGGGGGGGGGGGAGUCGCACGACCUCGUCGACGCUGUCAUCGGCGGGCCCAACAGCAACGACGUGUUCGUCGACCACCGCAACGCGUACAUGCAGACGGAGGCCUGCACGUACAACACGGCGCCCAUGGUCGGCGUCUUCUCCAAGCUCAUGGAGGUCGAAGUGGAGCGCGGGCUUGUGCCCGCUCCGCUUCGUCGCCGGCGACGAGCAGGCCGACCUCAAGGCCCUGGUCGCCAACGGCAACGCCAACAUCAAGGUGGACGCCGGCACGCACCCGCAGACGGCCGCGGGCCACGGGCGGCUCCUCUGCUCCCAACGGUCGGCGCCCCACGCCCCUCCGGCCACCGCCGCGCCGCGACUUCUCCCCCGCCGGCCGGCGCGCCGCUUCGCUCCUCGGCUCCGCCCCGCCAUCGCCCGCUCCGGCCGCCGCCCACCCCGCUCCGUCGGCUGGAGAGAGAGAAGAGGGAGAGAGAGGAUAGAGAGAAGAGGUUAGUGAGGAUGACGUGUGGUCCACAUGGGUCCACUGCUGGCACGCCUCCGUCGACACCGUGAACCCCGGCGGCACCGACAGCCCGAUGCCCGUCCUCACCUUAAUUUUUACACAGGAGAAUGUUAUAUUAUGAUCAGGACAGGAGAAUAUGUUGAUCUUAUAGCUUCCAAAUUGAGCUAUAGAGAGUUAGACUGGAGAUAAAUUCAAUAUCAAAGGUGAGUACCAGAAUGACAGAUUUUCCUUGUGCAUGCCAUGCUUCAGCAUCGUCAGCUGUGAAGACAAUCUGGCCUACAGCAGCUCCUGGUGAUGCAGGCAAGCCUGUAGCAAUAACUUUGUCUCCAUAUGACGACAGGCUCUCAAACUAGUUUAACAAGGGCAGAGCAAAGAGUACAGAUUAGAUAGCCAUCAGUUUGAUUGUCGUUACAAAUCGUACUGAAGCGUAACAAAAAGCAACAACCUUCAGGCUCAUUGGUUUAGAGGAAAACAUAUAAACAUACAC